GGCCUUUCCCUUUGCCGCAGACCCGCCUAUAUUGGUGAGGUCGGGUUUCGGCCUGACUAUGGGGAUAAACGCCCACGUAAUAAGCGAACUGGACCCGGGUGCGAUUCCCGGCGGCUCCACCAUUCCCUUCGCAAGAGGGCUUUUUAUGGGGCCGAUCAGCAUCGACAGGCGUGUAAAGGUGAAGCUUUCCCUCAGUGUGAGCCUCUGUGAUCGGCUCAUUUUAUAACUGCGAACGAUAACUUCGCUUCGGAUCAAGCUCUUGCUGCGUAAUGCGGCGGAGUUAAUCCACCUAAACUCCUAGGAAUUAAGCCUCCUAGGCGGGGCCCGGAAGCCGCCUUGCAACAGAAGGCUUCCACU
rnacentral:tmRNA from 1 species